GAUGAAGAACGUAGCGAAAUGCGAUAAGUAAUGUGAAUUGCAGAAUUCAGUGAAUCAUCGAAUCUUUGAACGCACAUUGCGCCCGCCAGUAUUCUGGCGGGCAUGCCUGUCCGAGCGUCAUUUCAACCCUCGAACCCCUCCGGGGGGUCGGCGUUGGGGACCUCGGGAGCCCCUAAGACGGGAUCCCGGCCCCGAAAUACAGUGGCGGUCUCGCCGCAGCCUCUCCUGCGCAGUAGUUUGCACAACUCGCACCGGGAGCGCGGCGCGUCCACGUCCGUAAAACACCCAACUUCUGAAAUGUUGACCUCGGAUCAGGUAGGAAUACCCGCUGAACUUAAGCAUAUCAAAAGCGGAGGA
rnacentral:misc_RNA from 1 species